GUGAAACAAGAUACAGGCUAGCGGCGGACGGGUGAGUAACACGUGGGUAACCUGCCCAAGAGAUCGGGAUAACACCUGGAAAACAGAUGCUAAUACCGGAUAACAACAGAUGAUGCCUAUCAACUGUUUAAAAGUAUGGUUCUGCUAUCACUCUUGGGAUGGACCCUGCGGUGCAUUAGCUAGUUGGUAGGGGUAAACGGGCCUACCAAGGCGAUGAUGCAUAGCCGAGUUUGAGAGACUGAUCGGCCACAUUGGGACUGAGACACGGCCCAAAACUCCUACGGGAGGCAGCAGUAGGGGAAUCUUCCACAAUGGACGCAAGUCUGAUGGAGCAACGCCGCGUGAGUGAAGAAGGGUUUCGGCUCGUAAAGCUCUGUUGUUGGUGAAGAAGGACAGGGGGUAGUAACUGACCUUUGUUUGACGGUAAUCAAUUAGAAAGUCACGGCUAACUACGUGCCAGCAGCCGCGGUAAAU
rnacentral:rRNA from 1 species